rnacentral:lncRNA from 1 species
AGAUUGCUCCUUCCUCUGCUAUUCCUGAAAGUGCUUGCACUCUCAGGGACCUAAGAGUAGAAGGAUCCACGGGAAGGCUGAGACUGCCACCGCAACAUUCGCAUGUUUGGAGAGACUGCCUCACACUCGGAGGCACUAAUGCAGUGCACAACAUUCUCAGUGGUGAAAUUUUCCACAGCUGGGGCUGUAGGAGGACUUAUGUUGUGGUUUAAGAGCUUCCUACAGCCCUUGUAAACCUAUGGUGGAUCUUUCCAAACAUAAAGAUUUUUUGUUGUUGUUCUGGAGAGCUAUGCAGAACUUAGGAAAUGUUUGAAAAAAAGAAUGAGCUAAAUGAGGAAGACGGGAAGACAAAGAGAGAAAAUGCCAAUGCUUAAUUUAAAGAUGAGGACUCUGAUAGACCUAACAGAUGCUGUGUCCAUCCUGAGAUAAUGAUGAUGUUCUUGGGGAUGGACCCCACAUCACCCCACAUGACAGACUCAUGUAACAGACUCACUCUCCCACCUGUGGCCAGGGCAUCUGGGUACUUGGAUUGGCAGCCUCAUCAGGACCUCAUGAAGAGAAGGAAAUUAUCCCCCUUAAAAGGGGUUCUCUUAU